rnacentral:rRNA from 1 species
GGCUCAGGAUGAACGCUAGCGACAGGCCUAACACAUGCAAGUCGAGGGGCAGCGCGGGGUAGCAAUACUCUGGCGGCGACCGGCGCACGGGUGCGUAACAGGUGUGCAAUCUGUCCAUAGUCGGGGAAUAGCCCAGCGAAAGUUGGAUUAAUGCUCCAUGUGAGCGAGUGCCGCAUGACACUUGCUUGAAACGUAAGGACUAUGGGUGAGCACGCUUCUGAUUAGGUAGUUGGUGAGGUAACGGCUCACCAAGCCGACGACCAGUAGGGGUUCUGAGAGGAAGGUCCCCCACAUUGGAACUGAGACACGGUCCAAACUCCUACGGGAGGCAGCAGUGAGGAAUAUUGGUCAAUGGGCGCGAGCCUGAACCAGCCAAGUCGCGUGAAGGAUAGAAGGUUCUAUGGAUUGUAAACUUCUUUUAUUCGAGGGUAAAGUGUGGUACGUGUACCAUAUUGCAAGUAUCGAAUGAAUAAGCAUCGGCUAACUCCGUGCCAGCCGCUGC